rnacentral:tRNA from 1 species
AAAAUCCGUCCGAUUUUUGAAUCAUGAGGGUUCAAGUCCC